ensembl:lncRNA
CCCCUCCCGCAGCCUGGGGCAGCCGCCCGCUCGCAGCGACAACAAAAAUCGGCGCUAAUUCAAUUAGGGCUGAAGCCCGCGUGUAGCAGAGGGGAACUUUGGCGCUUAGGAACUAAGCUGCUAUAUUCGCUUGGCUAUAAACUGACGAGAAUAUUUUAUGGCGGAGGAGAACCGUACAACACAAAAGGGAAAUAUGACAAUAAAUCUCUUUUUAUGGAUCCUCUCUAGCAGCAAAACCACAAGGAUUCCACGGUUUUACCGCUCAGCCGUUUUACAGCGGAUCAGGCAAACGAUUUCAGAACCCUGGCUUUCUUAAGGAAAGCUGUGGAACAAUCUAUGGAUCUGAAACGUCAAUCCUAACCACCUAACACCUACAAAAUGUAACGGUGGGAAAAAGAAAGAUGACCCACACUGACAGACACAGUCCUCCUCAUCAGGGAAAAAAAAGGUUUAAGAUGUUCAAAUACUUUUCUACAUGAGGAGGAACUGGCACCUCCCUUGGACCACAGGACAUAAUAGGAACCACCAAAGAUAGCCUAAAGCAAAUGGUAAAGAAAGGCUCCCACACAGCUCUCAGUUUUGUCAUAAUAUGAAUGGCGUCUUCAAUCAAAUGACCACCGUAAUCACAUAUUGCUCCAAGAACACAGCAACUAUAAUUGUUUAGCAUCAGAAGUGAUCAAAUGUGUGAUAUAAUUUGAAACUGCACAAUAUUUUUUUUUCUGAAAAGCUAUGAAAUCCAGCAAUUAGAAUGAUUUAAAUAUUAUUCCAGAAUUAUGUCACUGUUUUGUAAGAAGGAUUUUAACCGAGAUUUUUUCUUCCUGACUCUUUCAAAAUUUCCAGUGUUUUUACACCAGAAGCUAACAACUCUUUCUUCCCCCAUCCUCUCCCAUAAAGACAUUGGGGCGUUUUCAAGAUAGCCCACUCUUCAGCCUGGACUCCAGCCAUUUUAAAUACUGAUUGCCACCUACACAUUCCCACCAUUGCUGUCAACAGAAGAUCUGCUAUCUGUAGGAUGGAUGCUAUCCAAAAGAAGGCUUUAAGUUUUAAUACUGUUUAUAUCCUUUCUUUUGAUACAUAUACAUGUACACAUACAUAUUCAGCCUAUUGAAAAAUUUCUGAUUCUGCUUUCUUUGGG